GAUGAACGCUAGCGACAGGCCUAACACAUGCAAGUCGAGGGGCAGCACAAGGAGCAAUCUGAGGUGGCGACCGGCGCACGGGUGAGUAACACGUAUGCAACCUACCCGUAAGAGGGGGAUAACCCGUUGAAAGACGGACUAAUACCGCAUAAUACUGAAUAACCGCAUGGUUAAUCAGUUAAACAUUUAUGGCUUACAGAUGGGCAUGCGCAUGAUUAGCUAGUUGGUGAGGUAACGGCUCACCAAGGCAACGAUCAUUAGGGGUUCUGAGAGGAAGGUCCCCCACACUGGUACUGAGACACGGACCAGACUCCUACGGGAGGCAGCAGUGAGGAAUAUUGGUCAAUGGGCGAGAGCCUGAACCAGCCAAGUCGCGUGAAGGAUGAAGGUUUUAUGAAUUGUAAACUUCUUUUGCAGGGGAAUAAAGUGCGGUACGUGUACCGUUUUGUAUGUACUCUGCGAAUAAGGAUCGGCUAACUCCGUGCCAGCAGCCG
rnacentral:rRNA from 1 species